UACGUAGGGCGCAAGCGUUGUCCGGAAUUAUUGGGCGUAAAGAGCUCGUAGGCGGCUUGUCACGUCGGGUGUGAAAGCCCGGGGCUUAACCCCGGGUCUGCAUUCGAUACGGGCUAGCUAGAGUGUGGUAGGGGAGAUCGGAAUUCCUGGUGUAGCGGUGAAAUGCGCAGAUAUCAGGAGGAACACCGGUGGCGAAGGCGGAUCUCUGGGCCUGACCUGACGCUGAGGAGCGAAAGCGUGGGGAGCGAACAGG
rnacentral:rRNA from 1 species